GGUUGAUCCUGCCAGUAGUCAUAUGCUUGUCUUAAAGAUUAAGCCAUGCAUGUUUAAGUUCAUACCUUUGAAUGGUGAAACCGCGAAUGGCUCAUUAAAUCAGUUAUAAUUUCAUGGGAUGUGAUUUGUUAAUUGGAUAACUGUGGUAAUUCUAGAGCUAAUACAUGCAUAUACGUUCAGCUUUGCUGGAUGUGCUUUUAUUAGUGCAAACCAUAUCUUCGGAUAGCAGGUGUUGACUCUGAAUAACUUUGCCGAGCAUUUCAGCCUCGUGCUGGUGCUAUUCCUUCAAAGUA
rnacentral:rRNA from 1 species